GAUUAAUUUGGCUUUGGUUAUAAUAUAGGCUAUUAUUAAAUUAAUAUAUGCUAGAUUUUUAAUAUCGUUUUAUUUUUAUAUUGUUAUUUGUUUUGUUUAAUAUGAAUUGAAAUAGCAAUAAAUAUUUUUAAUAUUUUAUUAUAAUGAUUAGAAUAGAUUACGCAGUAUUUAUUAUUAUACAAUGAAUGAAAGUUUGAUAUAGUUAAUGUAAAUUAGGAGUGGUUAAAUUGGUGCCAGCAACUGCGGUUACACUAAUGUUUUAAGUUUAUAUUUAUACAGUAUAAAAUGAAGUAAUAAUUUUUGAUGUAUUUAGGUCAAUUAAGGACGGUAAUUGUAGGUAAAAUUUAAUAAUUGUUAUUAAUUAUAUUGUUCUAAUAUUUAAAAUCUUUGAAAAUAGGAGUGAAAACUAGGAUUAGAUACCCUACUAUUCUUUAUUUUAAAAAUUUUUAUUACUUAAGUAGUGUGAACAAAUAAAUUUAUAGAAAAUAGUAUUUAGAAUUAUUAGAAUGUUUGAAAUUUAAAAGGCUUGGCGGUGUUAUAUAUCCAUCCAGGGGAGUUUGUUUAUUAAUUUGAUAGUCCUCAAUUUAUACUUACUUUUUUUUGAAUAUAUGAUAUCAGUUUGUAUAUUGCUGUCAUCAGUUUAUUUUGUAAAAAUUUUAUAAGAAACUUAAUAACGGAUUGGUUAUUAUGUCAAGUCAAAAUGCAGCUAAUAGAGAAGGUUUAUAAAGUGAGCUACAAUUUAUAAUUUUUAAUCGGAUUAGAUUUAUGUAAUUUAUUUAUAAAGUUGGACUUGGUAGUAAUAUUAUUAAUUAGUAGGUUUUUAUGAAUAAGGUUUUAUAAUGCGUACAUAUCGCCCGUCGCUCUUGUUGGAAAAUAAGAUAAGUCGUAACACAGUAGAGGUAGUGGAAGCUGCUUCUGGUUUAUA
rnacentral:ncRNA from 1 species